CGGCAUUACCUGCACCAUGUUAAGCUAAUCAAUACUAAAGCGAACAUCGCAGCUGCACUGCAACCAGCCACAAUUGCUGAAAAACGCGAAGAAGCAGAAAGCAAAGGCAGCUGACAGGAACUAUACUUAUCAACGAGUCAAAGUGACUAUAAAAAGGGAAAGUUUAAAAAAAGAAAGGGUUAAAUAUAAGCAGAGGAAUUAUCGAUGCUUAUAGAGACUGACGUAAUUUGACCCUUCCAAGACUCUAGGUUGUGUGCGCCAAAAUGGAUUAAAAAAUCGCUCUAAAGGAUUCCGAUAAAAGGCAAAUUAAUGAAUGAAACAAAUGUUUACCCGACGAAAAUGAUGCCUCGCCGUAAUAUC